CUGUCUUAUUCCAUUAUGCUCUUCUUCAAGACCUCUGCUGUAGUCAGAAUGAUUCCAUUGGCAGUUCCUGAAAAUGCCAAGCACAGACUUUCUUUUUCUUUUUCUGCUUAUGAUAUAUUCUUAGCUUCUUCCAGUUAAAUAAAUCUUACCCCAAAUUUCUGUUCUACAUUAGUUUAUUGUGAAACAAAUGUGUGUCUUUUUCUUUUUUUUCCCCAGUAUGAAUUUCCCUGACACUCUACUAUGCUCAUUAUAUCAUGAAUGUAGAGUGCAGUCCAUAUGCUGUUCUGUAGCAGUGCAACGUAUAAACCCUGGAGCCAGCAGGAUGAGACAUAAGAAGAUAUUCAAAUACCAAAGUAACUAUGGAAAUAGGAGGAACAAAGAAGAAUUCUUGAAAGUCUCUAGGUAAAGAUAAAAGGAAAACAGAAUAAAGAAGAUCUCACAGCAGGGGCUUGUGACAGAUCUCCAAAUCAGGAAGUCAGGGAAGAUGAAGUGGAACGAAGCCAAAUCUCCACAUCCAGAGAGAUGGCCCAUAGAUUUCAACUACCCAGUUAACUUUCAGAUAACUCACUCAAGAGAACAGAACUGGAAAUGUACAAAGCAUAAGUUUAAUUCUCUCAGUAAAUGAUGCAGAAAGAGUAGCAAGAAUUUUGACAAUGGUCUCACACCCGGAAGAAGAUUUUAUAGACUGCCUGAAUGUCUUAACCUGGAGAAGAACGAUCCUGGAUUAGCCAAAGUCUAAGGCAUUUCUGUCAGGCGUCCUCAUGAGCAAAUUCAAGACAGGAUGCUGCAGGCAUACUAAGCCAAUUGGAAGCGUGUUUGGGGCCUUGAUUACUACCUGUGUGUACCUUGCUAAGCAGGACCUCAUGGAUGAGUCUGCUACCAAGUCAAUGACAUAUAAAGUGCACUGAAUUUCAGAAAGAAAGAUUUUUCUGUGUGCCGUAAAUCUUGUAAUAAUAUUUGUCAUUAGCUCAAGCACUGAUCCAUAGUGCAAAGGAAAUUUACACUUCCACUCAGUAAGACAGAUUUUUAUCUUCUUAAAUCUUGGUACCAGAGGCCUAAAGAAAAAUAGCCAAGCAAAAAAAUGUAAGGUUGAAUGGCCUUGUUUAUUCAUCUCUGUGACAUUCUCAUAACAACUCAACAGUGACAAUGAGCCUGGAGGGUCAGCAACUCUUUGCAGUGGGCACUUGUUGUGGUAGCUCCACGAUGCAUGCUUCCCCUUCUCUGAGGAGCUGCCAACAUGCACCCAUAUGUCCUCUCCUCACCCUGCCCUGACAGCCAUCUCAGUGUUAGGAAAGAGCCCCUGGAGCAUGGUUUAUCAAUUCAGGUCUGUCAUCUGAUCUAAAGUCAGCUGAUCAAUUUGUCUCCCUCAUGAAUUUGAAAUGUUGCCAGAGGAGCAACUGUGUUAUUGGAAGUUGUUAGUAUCUGAGACACAUUGCAAUGCUCUUGGGGGAAGGCCUACAACCUCCUGCAGAAGAAAUACGUGGAAUUGCCCUAGCCAUUUUGGAGCCGCGGUUUAAUUCCUUCUUUGAUUCUAUGAGAUAUUCCAGUAUUCUUGCAAUAAAUUCCCUGUUUUUGCUCAAAGUAUUAGAGUUGGUUUCUUUUUCUCUUUUUGUUUGCUUGUUUUGUUUUUUGUUUCUUUCUUCUUCUCCCCAAAGGACCCCAGUACAUAGUUGUAUAUUCUAGUUGUGAGUGCCUCUGGUUGUGCUGUGUAGAACGCUGCCUCAGCGUGGCUUGAUGAGCAGUGCCAUGUCUGCGCCCAGGAUCUGAACUGGUGAAAACCUUGGCCACCGAAGCAGAGCAUGUAAACUUAACCACUCAGCCACCAGGCCAGACCCUAGAGUUGGGUGCUGAUACUUGUUAUCAAAAGAAACUUACUAAUAGAAGACAGCCACAACCAUGCCUGAACAGUUAGAAGAAAAUGGUUUAUCUGGAUGCCAUUUCAUUCAUUCAUUGAUUCCUUCAAUAGUCACUUAUUGAGGAUCUAUUAUAUGUCAAUCACAGAGACAGGCACACAAAUAAGACAGGAGGAGGUGUGGGGAGACAGUCUUGCAAACAUGUAAUUACACUAAAUUGUGAUAAUGUUCUAGUAGAGAUACUUACAAAGUGAUGUGGGAGUACAGAUAAGAGCGUGAAUGAACUCUCUGGGUAGGUUGGGGAACUAGGGUUAAUCAGCUUGGAGAAGGAUUUAAGCUAAGGACUCAAUCAAAGCUAUAUGGAAAAUUCAAUCUCAUUCCAUUACAGCGGCAGCAAAUGAAGAAUUUCUACAUAGAGGCCGAAGACCAGCUGUUCUCAAUAUCCACUCAGCUCUGCCGAGUGGAAACUGAUUUGAACAGCAGCAUGAGAGACUUAAAUAAUAUGCGGAAGAAUUUCCUGACAGUGAAAGUUGUUAAUGUUGGGAGAUUGUAGAAUCUUCUCUGGAG
ensembl:lncRNA